rnacentral:rRNA from 1 species
UAAGGAAUAUUGGUCAAUGGACGCAAGUCUGAACCAGUCAUGCCGCGUGAAGGAUGAAGGUCCUCUGGAUUGUAAACUUCUUUUAUCUGGGACGAAAACGGGAUUUUUAUCUCAAUUGACGGUACCAGAGGAAUAAGCACCGGCUAACUCCGUGCCAGCAGCCGCGGUAAUACGGAGGGUGCGAGCGUUAUCCGGAUUUACUGGGUUUAAAGGGUGCGUAGGUGGGCUUAUAAGUCAGUGGUGAAAUCUCCGAGCUUAACUUGGAAACUGCCGUUGAUACUAUAGGUCUUGAAUUAUCAGGAGGUAAGCCGAAUAUGGCAUGUAGCGGUGAAAUGCUUAGAUAUGACAUAGAACACCAAUUGCGAAGGCAGCUUACUACAUAUAAAUUGACGCUGAGGCACGAAAGCGUGGGGAUCAAACA